rnacentral:lncRNA from 1 species
GACAAAUAAAAUUGAGAAAGGAAAUGGUGAAUAUGUCAAAGCGACAACCACCCGACCAUAGAGCAAACAACAGCCGAAGGCAACCAAUGGGUCUUCAAUGUAGCGAGAAUUCCCGCACCCGUAGGUGUCCUUCAGCUGGCCCCUAAAAUAUGCAUAAUAGUACAGUGAUAAUGGACGUCAUACUAAACUCCGAAUUAUAAAAGCUUGUUUCUGAUCAUA